rnacentral:rRNA from 1 species
GAUGAACGCUGGCGGCGUGCCUAAUACAUGCAAGUCGAGCGAACAGACGAGGAGCUUGCUCCUCUGACGUUAGCGGCGGACGGGUGAGUAACACGUGGAUAACCUACCUAUAAGACUGGGAUAACUUCGGGAAACCGGCGCUAAUACCGGAUAAUAUAUUGAACCGCAUGGUUCAAUAGUGAAAGACGGUUUUGCCGUCACUUAUAGAUGGAUCCGCGCCGCAUUAGCUAGUUGGUAAGGUAACGGCUUACCAAGGCAACGAUGCGUAGCCGACCUGAGAGGGUGAUCGGCCACACUGGAACUGAGACACGGUCCAGACUCCUACGGGAGGCAGCAGUAGGGAAUCUUCCGCAAUGGGCGAAAGCCUGACGGAGCAACGCCGCGUGAGUGAUGAAGGUCUUCGGAUCGUAAAACUCUGUUAUUAGGGAAGAACAAAUGUGUAAGUAACUAUGCACGUCUUGACGGUACCUAAUCAGAAAGCCACGGCUAACUACGUG